UUUCUUCUUAAUUUUUUUUUUGCAUAUUAUUAUUAUUCUAAGUAUUCUUCAUAGAUAUAAGGCACAAACAUAGCAAAAUUCAAAACGCAAACGUAAAAAAAACAGACAAAACUAAAAUGAGACAAUUUUUGCGCUGUCAAUUAAUUCUUUGCAAAAUGCAAACACAAUUCGAAAUAGAGCCCAAGCUACCUAACGGUACUUCAAAUUCGAAGAAAUUUGAAUGCGUGAGUCAUUGAUAUACAGCGUGCGAACCUUCUAAGCGAUUUUGCGUUUUUAACAGUUCACAUCUUGCCUAAUUUAGAGCUUUUUGCAAUGCCUGGUCAACGAAUUAAUGAAAAUCUAAUUCAAAUAGUUUGUUUCCACUACCACAAGGGGAAAUCUGCUAAAGAUAAAAAUUGGCGGAAAUGUUCUCAAUUAAGCUAAGAACUAUUUAUAAUAUUAUUAACCGCGCCGAAAAAGAAAAUAGAUUGGAAUUAAAGCACUCCGGAGGUAGACCAGCGAAGCUCACUAGACGCGAUCAUGCAAAAAUUUUAAAUCAGAUCAACGAUCAACCUCAAGCUAGCCCUCGACAAUUGGCAUCGGACUUAAAAAAUGACGGCAAUAAGACAGUGAGCCACGAGACAGUUCGUAAAGUCCUAAAAGUCCAUAAAUUCUCCUCGCAAAUAGCUAGGAAGAAGCUACUACUGUCCGCAGUAAAUAUUCAGAGGCGACUUAAUUUUUCUAUUGCCAAUGUCAACAAGCCCGUGGAGUACUGGGAUGACGUUAUUUUUUGUGACGAGACAAAAAUAAUGUUAUAUUAUCAUGACGGACCCAGCAAAGUUUGGAGAAAGCCCAAUACAGCUCUGAAACCGAAGAAUAUAAUACCAACAGUAAAGUGGCAAUCUUUCGGUUAUGGUGUGGGGCUGCAUAUCGUCGAAAGGUGUCGGUGAGCUGCGCAUUUUCAAUUAUGUGAUGACUAAAGAGUUUUACUUGGACAUUCUAAAGAAUGAAUUGUCAAGGAGCGCAAUAAAGUUUGGCUUCGAAGACCCCCAAAACACCAAUAAACAAACGUACAAACUUUAUUAGGUUUAACACGAAUCGUUUUUGUGCAGGACUUGGCUACUGUAUAAUUGCAGCAAAGUCAUUGACACCCCUGCCCAGAGUCCUGACUUAAGCCCAAUUGAAAAUUUGUGGGCUUUCCUAAAGAAGCGCGUAGGGAAACGAAGCCCAAUUAUUAAAAACGCUCUCAUCAAGGCCAUUCAAGAAGAAUGGUAAAAAUACCCGAAAUGUAUGACCUGAAUAACCUUAUUCAGUCAAUGUCUCGUCGUCUGCGGGCUGUAAUGGAUGCUAAUGGCCAAUAUACUGAAUAUUAGUACCACAAUAGCUAUAGUUUCCUAGAUUUAGUUAUGUAUAUGUAUAUAGUAAUAGUAUGCAUUUUGCAAAGAAAUAAUUGACAGCGCAAAAAUUGCCUCAUUUUAGUUUUGUCUGUUUUUUUUAUAUGUGCGUUUUUGAACAGGCUAAUGCUUUCGGAUAUCAUCUUGAGGCUCGUUUCAGUCUUUUUGAAUUUGUAACGAUAGUGCAGGCUAGGCAGACCUAUCAGGCUCUGCAGACCUCCCUGCAGAUCUCCCUGCCUAUUGAGCCUGUAAGGAUUGAAGAAAUAACUGACGCGAUCCAACUAUUGCAGAAAAAUAAAGCUCCAGGUAUCGAUAGGAUUUGUAAUGCUACGUUGAAAGGCUUGCCUACAAGAGCGUUUCUAUAUAAUGUUAAUGUUAAUUUGUCAUGAUAUUAUCAGGCUCCAAGUGUUCCCAAAACAAUGGAGACUAGCUGCAAUUUUGAUAAUUCACAAGCUAGGCAAACUAGAAGUUAAUCCAUAAGUCUCUUACUCUCCUUGUCUAAAUUAUGGAAUAGGGCUAUUGCCAAUCGGAUUACUGCCAUUACAAGCCAAUGCAAUAUCUUGCCGAAUCUCCAAUUCGGAUUUCGAUAAGGACACGGCACUGUGGAACAGGUCAACAGAGUUGUGAAAUACAUCAUGCAGGCGUUUGACGACCUAGAGUUCUCAAACGCUGUCUUAAUUGACAAGCAGCAAGCGAUCGAUAAGGUGUGGCACGAUGAAUUACUGUGCAAAAUAAUAAACCUUUUACCUGGCCCGUACUAUGGCCUUUUAAGGUCAUAUCUGGAAGUACGAGAGUUAUAGGUCAAGAUAUACCCUGCUCUACCUCUCAACAUAUGGAAGAUCCCCCUAGGACUAUAUGCAGACGAUAUCGCAGUCAUUUAUAACUCCAAAAGUUGCGUGGAAGCAAGUAAUGGACUUCAGGGGUAUCUGGAUACUCUUGCAUCUUGGAGCAACCGGUGGAAUUUGAAAAAAACAACAAGCCACGCUCUGCCCUCAAAAUGCGGAUGCAUACCCCUCCCAUCUAUCUUGAGGGGGCUAGCCUGGAGCAGCCGCCACAAGCUAAGUAUCUCGGCAGCUCCUUGGUUAAGCGCUUAACAAUUGGUCCACACCUUAAGCCUACGGUAAAACAAUGUCGUCAAAGACUGGAACAGUAAAAGGAGCACCUUACCGCUAAAAUGCAAGAGAGCUGCACACGUGCAAUGUAUCUUGCCGAUAUGGCUUUAUAGAGUGCAGAUUUGGGGGAAUGCAGACAAAUCCAAUUAUAAUCGUUUACAUGUAUUGCAGAAUCGGGUACUACGACAGAUAACCAACUGUCGCUGGUACGUACGCGGUUCCACACUCCGUAAGGAUCUCAAAGUGCAUACAGUUGAAGAACAGAUUGGAAAGCACACAAUCAGAUGCAGUGACAGAUUGCUAAGACACCACAGCCUGCUCGCAAGAGGACUAUUUCCUGCCCGACCUUUAAGGCGACUCAAACGGCAAGGCUUUGCCAAGAAGAUUGGGCGCCAGUAAGACCACCCGCAUUUAAAAUCCUCCUACUGCGUUAUGGAGUUCGGCUCUAAGCUGCAUUUUCUAUCCAUGUGUUGUUAAGGUACUAAAUUAUGACUGUACAGGUUCUACAAU